UGUGAUCUCUAUGGCUAAGGUUAACUGGUGUUAGGGUAUCCUUCUAGAAUCUAGUUUUUGAGGAAAAUAGAGAUUUGGAGAUGGGAGACUUACAAGGACAUCCUAAAUGAAGUGUUGCUGAAUCUUCUUCAAAGUGACUAUUGGUGAGGGAUCUUGUAAGAUCCAAAUAUUUUGCUUGGUCAGUCAUCAGAGGAAGAAAUAUCUUCAAGUUUCAACUUGAGGUUAAGAAUCAAACUGUAUAUCCUAAAUAGAAAUGAUGUUUGGAAGGAGGAAACGAUCAUUUGGUCACUUUUGAGUAUAGGACUUAUAAAUGAAGUUUCACUAAUUUUUUCAUGGUGAUGAUUCUUUAUUUAUUUAUUUUUAAAGGAAGGACUUUGUAAGUUCCAAAUCUUUGCUUGGUGAAUUUACACGGUGGUCUUCCUUAAUUUAACAUGGAACAAAGGGUUAGUGAUGCAGCUCCUUAGUGUUUUGGCUAUGAGUUAAUUAUGUAACAUGCUGAAAGAAUUUUUGUUAAUAAACAACAAAUAACAUCAAAUAAAAGAGGAAUGUGAGGCAAAAGAGAAGGUUCAAGGGUGGAAUUGAGGUAAAAAGAAUUUGAGUGGGCAGAAUGACAAGAAUUAAGGGAAAAAACCAGCUGAAAUGAACUAAUUUAAAUAAGGAACUAAUUUAUUUAAAUUGUGAACCACUUUUCAUGGUACUUUGUUUUUAGAUGCUAAAAUAAUUGCAAAAUGAAGUUAAUUAAUUCUAAAAGGAUGCCUAACUUACCAGUACUUAACCUUUGUUUCUAAUUUACAUAAGUUUUUCUCAAAUUAGGAUUGGUAAUCAACCUACAUCAUGACUAUUCUGAGCUACUCACUUUCCCAACAAGAAAUGACCAGACCAAAGGUUUGUUGUAUCGGUCGGUACUGUACCAUACGACACUCGGUAUGCCCCACCAUCUCGUACCGUACCGCGUACAAAUACUGUAAUAGCAUGGUACAAGUAGGGGGUCCAGUUGGCGAACCUUGAACCAGACUUUACAAAAAUGAUAAAAUCUGUAUUUUGAUAGAAACCUCUAGGGAAAGCCAUUCAGAUCACCUUAGAAUGAUAUUAGGUGGGUUCAGCUAUUUCUUUAAUACAACCUAGAUCUUAAGCAAGACAUUUUAGGUAAUUGUUCUACUUAAAGUGGGACUUAAAUCCACUAGAAAAAAACCCCUAGAAAUUAAUUUUUUUUUUCAAGUUUAUAACUUCUGUGACCUACUCUUGAAAAGCUUAAAUCCUACAACUCAAUAAAAUUAAAAAAAUAACUUGAAGUAAAGCACAAAACAUUUAAUAUUAUUGGACCUAAACCCAAUAUGAGACCUAUCAACAUUUGUUAUAUAUUUUUUUUUGGGUAUUUUUGCAAUAGUGAGAAGAUCCAUUGGUGGUGAGAAAAAAAAGCAUGAAACUUUGGCAUUUGUUGAGGCUGGCUAGGUUUCCUUUCAUCCUCUUGUAUGCAACAUGAUCUGAUUGGAUAAGGAGAAGUAGAAGGCGUUUUUGUUUCCUGAGGGCCAAGUUGGGAGUAGAGAGAUGUGGCAUCAGCAAAAGAGGAAAAGAAGUAAAAAGUGGCCGCUUCUUCCUUAUAUUUAUUUAUUGAUCCAAAAUAUUUGCUCAUAUUUCCCUUUUACCAUUAUUUUUAGUGGACAUUUGUCAUUGUGUUGGUGGGAUUGUUAUUGAUACUAUCUUUGCUGUUUGAAUUUGCGGAUGAGAGUCUUGGCCCACAAUGAAGAAUUUCCCUUUGAUAUAGGGUUGUUGCCAUGCCCAUCUUUGGAAGUUUGGUUGGUUGCAUAGUACCUACGCAAUAAGGUUGGAUUUUAGUGAUUUUCUGGUUCAAAGGUGAGUUCAAGUCAUGUGGGAGUAGUGGAGUACUAUAUACAUCAAAGUCUAUUUGUUAUCUAACUUUGCAGGAAUGCAUGUGAUUUUGAUCUUUUUAUUUUCUCAAGUCUCUAGCUUAGGUUGGAUGGGAUGCUUCAGAAGAUCAAUAGUGUCUCCUUAACAAGAAUGAAAUAUAGGAAGUUAUGCUAUAUGCAUGUAGUGGAUGCUCCACAUGGUUGUCUUGACACCUGCAGCGUGGGUGAGAUGUUUCUCUGGUAUACAUGACCCUUAUGAUGAUUAUUCUUUGUGUUAAUUUAUUAUGCAUGUCUGCUGACUGAGAUAUGAGUCAUGCUUAGCCACCAUUGACUGUGUUCUCCUUUAACCGCGUUUACCAAUUUGCAGACAUAAUAUGGUUACUGGUUGAUGCAUUGUUGCAACCUGCAUCGUUGUUGAAUUCCAUUAGCUAUGGAAGAAAGCAUGUGCUCAUGCAUUUUUAGUUCAUUCCCCAGGAUGACAAGCUGCCAUUUUCUUUUCUUUCUUUCUUUCUUUCUUUCUUUUUGGAAGGAUCAAUUCCAUGAUGCUUCAUUUUUAGUAUACAUCAUGGUCUUGGAUUGCAUGUCCAUUUAAUAUUCUUGUCUUGGUAAUCCGGUGGAGGAACUCAGUUUGACACUGAUCUUUCAUUUUUAGUUUAUCCACUCAUUUCACUGAACCAGGAGCCUGAACUUGGUCUUCACAAAUUGAGUCAGAACUAUGAUGUGUAAUAAAAUCUUAGCUAGCAAAGAAAAUCAAUUGGCUUGCUUCAUGCUUCAUGUCAAGCUUUUCUACCUACUUGAUCUUAUCUUCCUGUCUAUUAAGUUGUUCACAAAUUUGUUUGCUUUCUCCUGGCCGCAACUUCAGUCUUUGUUGAACAUGCCAUUUCAUUUGGCUUUCCAUCAUCAUCUAUAUCAUCAUAUUUUUUGCUUCUGUAAAAGUUCAUAUUAAUUUCACUUGUGUGCAGCAAUUGCCUUACUCUUGAUAAACACAUAUCCAUGUCACCCAAUCCCACUGUUUAUGCAUUCAUCAAUCUUUUAUUAUUCUGCAAUAUGUAUGCAGCACAAGAAAACUCGGUGCCAGGAGAUUUGCUAGCCACGAACUUAUUGAUGCCUUGUUGCAGUUGUCCACAUGCACUAUGGUUAUUAUUACUAUUGCUUCUUUUUUGGCAAAAAAUGUAUUACAAGAAUGCAUUUCCUAUUUACUUCUACUCAUGUUUGUCUUAUUGAAUGAUAUACCAUCCUCUGUAAGUUACACGUCCCACUUAUGCCUGCCAAAUGUUCGAUUAUAUAGUGUAGGAGAGGAGGGCUUAAGCUCGCCCUUGGUUUAGGCCUAUCACUGUUGGAAAUUUUUUGCUCUCAUGACAAGUUUUUUACAAAGACAUUACUCCCACUGUCUUAUCUACAUGCAUAUUGGCAUAUAAAUGUUCACCAGAUCACUUCUGGCAUUACGUUAAUAUAUGUUUUUAUAUUCAGUGAGAGCCAUGUGCUUAUCUUUUUCUUUGCCUUUAGCUCUUUGCAUAAAUUGCAAACGUAUGAUGUCCAGGUGUCGUUGGUCCUUUUAACUUGUGUUGGUUUGAUGUUUGUUACCCUAAAGCAUCUAAUCCUUCUUAUUGGAUCACUUCAAAGUUUAAACACUUUGAUCUUUUUGAUAGAAGAUACAUAUUGACACAUUUUAUUUAUCUUCAGAGACUGCGGUUGUCUGGAAAAUUUCGCAUUUUUUCAUAAAAAGGUCUGUAAAUAUCAUUGCCUGUUGUUGUUCAGUCUUUAGUGGUAGGGCUAUGCUUGGAGAGAAACCAUAUAUAAGAAUUCCAUUAAUCGUUUAGUAAUAAAAAGAAAGAUAACAAUAUUAUGUGCAGAAAAAAGAAAAAAAUUAUGAACUAUAUUGAUACAAAUUAUUUGAAUAGUUUAGAUAUCUAGUCUCGAAAAUAAAUCUGCCAUGAACCAUGUUGUACUAAUAAUUCAAUUGAUAUAAUGAUUACUUCGAUGACCUUUGAAGUACUGAACUAAUUAAGAAAAAAAAGUGGAAACUGAGGAUUUCUUUCAUUGUAUUUCAGGUUGUCCACAGGUCAUCAACAAAAUAUUAAUUUCCCUGACUAGAUUCCUUCAUCCAUUAACUCCUUCCAGCCAAGACUCUGAGCCAACUACAUCUCCAUUCUGAAAUAUAUUUUCUUCUGCACAAAACAUUAACCAACGUUCCAAACUACCUUAGACCAUCAGAAAAGUGAGGUUUGCAGAUUUUUAUGAACCCUCAUUUCAGUGAAAAUCUUAAGAACAUGUAGGUAUCCCUUUUUUCCAUUAAUUCUAUUUUUUUUAUAACAAAGCAAGGCAAACUCAUAUCUCAGACAUGUUUACUCCAGUGCUAAGCAUUAAUUAAGUGGAACAAUAUUGAUAAUGCAGACCUUAGUGAUCUUUUCACCCAACUAACCCUCAAUGAUCUCUGAAGCUCCAUGUACCUCUUUUUUUAACAAUUACUAUUAACAGUGAAUUAGAGCGUAACUUUGUUUAAUAUGGGUUCAAUCGUUGCAUUUAUUAAUUUGUUUUUCUCUAUUUUUACUUCUUUAUUAAAAUAUUUAUUUGGAGAAUCUCUUAUAAACAAAAUAUAUAGUUUCUGGAAGGAAUGGUGUUUCUCUUAAUAUGGUUAAGAAGUGUCAACUCAAUGGCUCCAGAUGUUCUUACACUGGAUUAUUUCAGAUCUCAAUGCUGCUUCAGAUAAUCAGUUGUGGUGCUUCUCGGAGACCCUUUAGAUUUGUUAUAUUUUCAUACAUUUCACUACCAAGAUUAGAUUGUGUUGACUAACACGCGCGUUUAUAGGUGAUUAAUGUAUAUGUUGCUUUCACACUAACCGCUUCUCUGAAAAGCCUUCACGGUGAGGUGUUUGGUUUAAGUUGGCCUAUGUAUCUUCCUAACUUAUGGUUAGAUCAUCAGAUAAGUUUCUUUUCUCAUCUUAGGCUGCUCUAAAAUUUGCAUAGUCUUAGCUUUGGCAGUGUUAAACUGCUUUACAAUAGGUUAAUUUUUCCUUUGGAACAAAAAUCUCUAGGAGUUGGCCAAAUCCUUUUGCUGUUGCAUCACAUAUUAACUUCCAAAAGAUUCCAGUUUUAGAUUUUCCAGCCCUAUAUUCUCUCUCUUUUCUAUGGGGAAAAUCAGGUGAGCAAUUUGUUUCAAUCAGGGUUAUAUGGUCAACAAUCAUUCAUAGGUUAACUUCUAUGAAAGGGUAGGUUGUUUUGAUAUCAUUUUUGAUGGUUAUCAACUGAAAUAAAUUAUUUUGCAGGCAUUUUAUUGGCUUAUUGGGUCAUAGAGAGACAAGGAUUUGAAAUCUUGAGUUUUCCAUCAAAAUCAUUGAGUAUGAGCAGCUGCAAUCUUGUCCAUAUUGAGCCAAAUAUUGUAACAGUAUCAUGAUGCUCCUUGAAACAGAGGCUAUGUUUUCUCGGCGACUUCGACCACUCUUUCCACAGCAAAGCUUGCCAAAGCAUCGAUUUGGCAUCAUUCUGGGGAUUGUAGGAUCCUUAGAUUUAGCUUCUCUGUGUAAACUGCAAAAUGUUUGGUGUUCAUGCCAAAGAGCAUUGGUGACAUGAUGAUCCAGGGAUAAGCUAGUAGGUCAUAGUGACGCAUAUAAUGGAGAUGCUGAGUUAUCCAUUUGUUAUCAUUACUGUCUUAAGAUUCCUUAUUUUUUAUUUAAAGCCGGGAUGAUUGUUUUUUUAUCCAAGGCCUAUUUCUGAAUUUUGAGCCAGACAAGUUCUCUUCCUAUCA